rfam:Monodelphis domestica chromosome 3, whole genome shotgun sequence.
AGUUUUAUGCAGUGGUAGUAUCUUAGUCAAUGAGGUUUGACAGAGACACGAUUAUUGUGACUUGAAAGCUUUUUUUUUUUUGGCCUUCAGAAGCAGUAAAUUUAUUGUGGAUGCCAGUAAUGGAAAAUGUAGAAGUUCUUAGGCAAGA